GCAAACUUGGUCAUUUAGAGGAAGUAAAAGUCGUAACAAGGUUUCCGUAGGUAAGUUGAAGCUCGUGUCACUUGCUGUUUCUAUGCUUGAAUUACCUGCUAACUUUUCUCUUCUAGGUGAACCUGCGGAAGGAUCAUUACCGAGCGUGACCCACCCCGUAAAAAAGGGGGGUACCUCCCGUCCUUUGCAGGCCCCCCUUUCGGGGGGGCUUUUUAAGACUUCUGCUUCGGCGGGGUUACUCCCGCCGGAACACCCUCAAAAACUCUUCAAAAAACCGUUCAGUCCGAGAACUUUUGACAAAUAUAAAAAAAACUUUCAACAACGGAUCUCUUGGUUCUGGCAUCGAUGAAGAACGCAGC
rnacentral:misc_RNA from 1 species